CUGCGGCAGCGACACUGUGUGUUGUUGGGUAGGGGAGCGUUCUGUAAGCCUGUGAAGGUGUGCUGUGAGGCAUGCUGGAGGUAUCAGAAGUGCGAAUGCUGACAUAAGUAACGAUAAAGCGGGUGAAAAGCCCGCUCGCCGGAAGACCAAGGGUUCCUGUCCAACGUUAAUCGGGGCAGGGUGAGUCGACCCCUAAGGCGAGGCCGAAAGGCGUAGUCGAUGGGAAACAGGUUAAUAUUCCUGUACUUGGUGUUACUGCGAAGGGGGGACGGAGAAGGCUAUGUUGGCCGGGCAACGGUUGUCCCGGUUUAAGCGUGUAGGCUGGUUUUCCAGGCAAAUCCGGAAAAUCAAGGCUGAGGCGUGAUGACGAGGCACUACGGUGCUGAAGCAACAAAUGCCCUGCUUCCAGGAAAAGCCUCUAAGCAUCAGGUAACAUCAAAUCGUACCCCAAACCGACACAGGUGGUCAGGUAGAGAAUACCAAGGCGCUUGAGAGAACUCGGGUGAAGGAACUAGGCAAAAUGGUGCCGUAACUUCGGGAGAAGGCACGCUGAUAUGUAGGUGAAGUCCCUCGCGGAUGGAGCUGAAAUCAGUCGAAGAUACCAGCUGGCUGCAACUGUUUAUUAAAAACACAGCACUGUGCAAACACGAAAGUGGACGUAUACGGUGUGACGCCUGCCCGGUGCCGGAAGGUUAAUUGAUGGGGUCAGCGCAAGCGAAGCUCUUGAUCGAAGCCCCGGUAAACGGCGGCCGUAACUAUAACGGUCCUAAGGUAGCGAAAUUCCUUGUCGGGUAAGUUCCGACCUGCACGAAUGGCGUAAUGAUGGCCAGGCUGUCUCCACCCGAGACUCAGUGAAAUUGAACUCGCUGUGAAGAUGCAGUGUACCCGCGGCAAGACGGAAAGACCCCGUGAACCUUUACUAUAGCUUGACACUGAACAUUGAGCCUUGAUGUGUAGGAUAGGUGGGAGGCUUUGAAGUGUGGACGCCAGUCUGCAUGGAGCCGACCUUGAAAUACCACCCUUUAAUGUUUGAUGUUCUAACGUGGACCCGUGAUCCGGGUUGCGGACAGUGUCUGGUGGGUAGUUUGACUGGGGCGGUCUCCUCCUAAAGAGUAACGGAGGAGCACGAAGGUUGGCUAAUCCUGGUCGGACAUCAGGAGGUUAGUGCAAUGGCAUAAGCCAGCUUGACUGCGAGCGUGACGGCGCGAGCAGGUGCGAAAGCAGGUCAUAGUGAUCCGGUGGUUCUGAAUGGAAGGGCCAUCGCUCAACGGAUAAAAGGUACUCCGGGGAUAACAGGCUGAUACCGCCCAAGAGUUCAUAUCGACGGCGGUGUUUGGCACCUCGAUGUCGGCUCAUCACAUCCUGGGGCUGAAGUAGGUCCCAAGGGUAUGGCUGUUCGCCAUUUAAAGUGGUACGCGAGCUGGGUUUAGAACGUCGUGAGACAGUUCGGUCCCUAUCUGCCGUGGGCGCUGGAGAACUGAGGGGGGCUGCUCCUAGUACGAGAGGACCGGAGUGGACGCAUCACUGGUGUUCGGGUUGUCAUGCCAAUGGCACUGCCCGGUAGCUAAAUGCGGAAGAGAUAAGUGCUGAAAGCAUCUAAGCACGAAACUUGCCCCGAGAUGAGUUCUCCCUGACCCUUUAAGGGUCCUGAAGGAACGUUGAAGACGACGACGUUGAUAGGCCGGGUGUGUAAGCGCAGCGAUGCGUUGAGCUAACCGGUACUAAUGAACCGUGAGGCUUAACCUUACAACGCCGAAGGUGUUU
rnacentral:rRNA from 1 species